rnacentral:rRNA from 1 species
AUUGAACGCUGGCGGCAUGCCUUACACAUGCAAGUCGAACGGUAACGGGCCUUCGGGUGCCGACGAGUGGCGAACGGGUGAGUAAUGCAUCGGAACGUACCUUUCAGUGGGGGAUAACGUAGCGAAAGUUACGCUAAUACCGCAUAUUCUGUGAGCAGGAAAGCAGGGGAUCGCAAGACCUUGCGCUGAUUGAGCGGCCGAUGUCAGAUUAGGUAGUUGGUGGGGUAAAAGCCUACCAAGCCGACGAUCUGUAGCUGGUCUGAGAGGACGACCAGCCACACUGGGACUGAGACACGGCCCAGACUCCUACGGGAGGCAGCAGUGGGGAAUUUUGGACAAUGGGCGCAAGCCUGAUCCAGCCAUUCCGCGUGAGUGAAGAAGGCCUGGUUGUAAGCUACUUUCAGCAGGAACGAACGGUAGGCCGACUAAUACUAGGCUACUAAUGACGGUACCUGAAGAAGAA